UACGAAGGGGGCUAGCGUUGUUCGGAAUUACUGGGCGUAAAGGGUGCGUAGGUGGCGUGGUAAGUCUGGUGUGAAAUCCCCGGGGCUCAACCCCGGAACUGCACUGGAUACUGCCAUGCUUGAGUACUGGAGAGGAGAUUGGAAUUUACGGUGUAGCAGUGAAAUGCGUAGAUAUCGUAAGGAAGACCAGUGGCGAAGGCGAAUCUCUGGACAGUUCCUGACACUGAGGCACGAAGGCCAGGGGAGCAAACGGG
rnacentral:rRNA from 1 species